GAUGACGCAAAGCUUGGGAGUGGGAGCGCAGUUCGGCGGCAAGUAUUUCUGUCACGACGUGCGCGUGAUCCGCUUGCCGCGUCACGGCGCGUCGCUCCCGAUCGGUCUCGGCGUGUCGUGCUCGGCGGACCGUCAGGUGCUCGGCAAGAUCACCAGGGACGGCGUGUAUCUGGAGGAACUGGAGCACAAUCCGGCACAGUAUCUGCCUGCGGUGGAAGCCAAGCUCGGCGGCGAGGUGGUGCAGAUCGAUCUCAACCAGCCGAUGAAGGAUAUUCUCGCCACGCUGACGAAGUAUCCGACCAAGACGCGGCUCUCACUCACCAUGAUCGUCGCGCGCGACUCCGCGCACGCGAAAUUGCGCGAACGUCUUGAGAAGGGC
rnacentral:misc_RNA from 1 species